rnacentral:lncRNA from 7 species
AUUAAGUAGACUUAACACAGUUCCAUUUACUUCAGCUAAAUCAAAGAAGCCAGAAAGGAAUCUCUAUUUAUACAGUCAUACAGUUAAAAGAGCUUUUAAAAAGAACGUGGGAGUCCUGAAGGGAUAAUUAACUGAGAAAACUUCAGAGCUUUUCCUCAGGCUUUUUAGAAACAUAAUCUAUCUCUUCCAGAAAGCAUGAGUAACGUGCAGUACCUGCUUGCUGAGUGUGACAGUGGUGUUGAUGCUGACCAGGUGAUGUUGACUGUUUGCUGGGGUAGUACCAUCUGUGGUGGUGUCCGAGCAUCUCCUUACUCUACCAAGUUGCAUGCAUGCACAGGAAGACAUAUGUCUCCAUAUCUUCCAUAUUCAAGCUCUCAUCACUCUGAGGUGAGAACCAAUGGUCCAUGUCCCUGUUCAACUAAAUUCCCUGUCACAGAUUGUGUUAAUUAGAUUUCUAAGCCCUCAAAAUCUAUCUCAAAUGUGUGUAAACAUCCUCUUCCAUAAUGGGAUUCACAGUGUACAUUCUUUAUCUGUCUUAGCUUUUUAACACAGACUUUCCAGAAAUGGGGAACUUUAUCUUUACUCGGUUCAUCUAAGUCCAUUCCUGUGGAAGCUCUUGACACUAUUCUAUUCAGCAUACUAUUCCUUUCUACCUGAUGCUUGUAAUUAAUGUAGCUUUCAUUGUUAUUGCUGUGCCCUUUUUCGGGCUCCUACAUCUCACAUGCUAGAUGUUUUACUAAUGAUCAAGGGAAAAUAAGUGCUUGUAGUUUAUACUCACAUUAUCAUGUGACAGUGGCACUGUGUGAACUGGAAUUGGCUGCCAAAGGAUUCUGGGGUUCCAAAUGUGUCCCUGUGUUGGUGGAUACAGCCCAGCAAGAGUUGCUUGAGCACUCAUAAGCGUUUGAUCACAGUCAGUGCUCUGAACAUAAAUCUGAAGGAAGAGAGGAAUUUUAUUUAUUUAUUUAAGGUAAUCUCUCCUGUUAAGUUUCUUCUCUUGGUAGAAAAGAUGUGGUCGAGAACUGUGCUGAGUAAGCUGGCAUUAAAAUGGAAUGGGGUAAAAAGAAAGAAAGAAGGGAGAAAGAAAGAAGCUGAAAUAGGGCCUCAGAAUAAAACUUUGGUGGACAGGAGAGUUGCAACUUCGAAGCUGCUCCCUUAGGGGUCGUAGUGAAAAACAUAAGGCUACCUUCAUUUGACCAAAUGAAUUAGGACAUCAUGGAUGCAUGGAGCAACUGGAAAUGAAAGCUAAGCGCUGUCUGUGCUGCAAAUGGAAAAGUAGGAUUUGAGAUCUCCAACACAGAUAAUCUGUCAUACAACAGUGAGGUAUCUGAGCCUCAUAUACAGCCUUAAAAACCUCGUGCAUGGCUUUCGGCUUACCAUCAGGCUCACUCAAAGUUGAGCCACAGCUUCAGGGAUACUUUGAAAUCACAUUCAGUUCAGUAGGUUACCUCCAAAUGUACCAAGCUCAGAUUCUCACAGAUCCGAGAAGUCCUACCAACAUCUUCAAAAAACAUCCUCCCUUCCAGAUCCAGUACUUGCCUCAGACCGUUUGUAAACAACGCUCAGGAAAUAGGAGUAUCUUCUCCGCAUAUACUGCCCAAGCUCAUACUGUUGCUGUAUGCCAAACUGUAGAAGUAACAGAAGAGUGUGAGAGCCUCAAGAAGUGUUCUGUGCAACUACUCCUACAAAUGAAAAAUUAUAAAAGCUUUCAUAAAAUGUUUCAUUUCUAAAGGGAAGAUGGAAAGAAAAAAAUGGAGUAAAGUUGCUGUGUUGACAGUAAUGGAAAUUCUGCUUUAUUAUUUUCUUAUUUGCAAUGUGAAACAUUCACUGUAUGACCAUAGUCUCAUUAAUACUCAUUUUCUUUAGCCAUGAGGGAAAAAAAGUAGAGAAAAGAUGUUUGCACUCAAUCUAGAUUGCAUGCAAAUGAAGAUCAUUACUCUCUGUCUCCAAAACUCACAUCUUAAUAAG